UCACUCGCCAUACGAGUGGGCGUCCGGCGGAAACUACAGGGCUUGGGACCGGAAGACUUGAGGGGUACGUCUGGGGUAGGAGUGAAAUCCUGUAAUCCUGGACGGACCGCCGAUGGCGAAAGCACCUCAAGACGACGGAUCCGACAGUGAGGGACGAAAGCUAGGGUCUCGAACCGGAUUAGAUACCCGGGUAGUCCUAG
rnacentral:rRNA from 1 species